UGGGGAAUAUUGCACAAUGGGCGCAAGCCUGAUGCAGCCAUGCCGCGUGUAUGAAGAAGGCCCUCGGGUUGUAAAGUACUUUCAGCGGGGAGGAAGGGAGUAAAGUUAAUACCUUUGCUCUGUGACGAUACCCGCAGAAGAAGCACCGGCUAACUCCGUGCCAGCAGCCGCGGUAAUACGGAGGGUGCAAGCGUAAAUCGGAAUUACUGGGCGUAAAGCGCACGCAGGCGGUUUGUUAAGUCAGAUGUGAAAUCCCCGGGCUCAACCUGGGAAAUGCGUCUGAUACUCGCAAGCGUGAGUCUCGUGGAGGGGGGUAGAAUUCCAGGUGUAGCGGUGAGAUGCGUAGAGAUCUGGAGGAAUACCGGUGGCGAAGACGGCCCCCUGGACGAAGACUGACGCUCUGGUGCGAAAGCGUGGGGAGCAAACAGG
rnacentral:rRNA from 1 species